GGCUUCAACAGCCCCGUAGGUCGGGUCACAGCCCAGCAACACUGACAGUGGACCUACUGGAGCC
rnacentral:sRNA from 1 species